rnacentral:lncRNA from 1 species
AAGGGGGGAUACCAGAAAUGGGCUUCGCAGGGGAGGGGGGAGUCUGUGGGGUGGGAGGAUGGGGGCUGAUCUAGACUCCUUUCCUGGCACCCUGAAUCCCAUCUGAAGGGCCUUUCCUUCUGCUGCUUCCUUAUGGUGUUGCUUCCGAACAUGGCAGAGCUUUUCUUUGAAAGGAAGGCUGGGCAGGAACAGGCUGGAGAAGAUGAUUUGGGGGGCAGGUGGAAAGAGGGAGAGGGAGAGAGAGAGAUGAUGAUGUAGCUGGUAAGGUUUGAGAAACAAAGUACCAAAGAGCCAGAAAGCGAUGAUGUGUGGGGAGGGAGAGACUCCAAAUCCAAGGGACAGGCUCAUUUGCACUGGGAUGGACGUGGUGUGAUCAAUACCAAAAGCAAGCAAACAAAAAACCAAAACCACUCACAUUAAACCCUUAUUAUAUUUCUGGAGCAAAUCCUGAAAUGUUUGCUGAGGUAGUCCUGCCCUCCGUUCCCAUAGCUGAAGAGGGAUUUGAACCCUGUCUUUGUCUGACAUUCACCCACUCCACUGCACAGGUUCUCCUGAAAGGUUUUCCUGGGGGAAGAAAUAAACACCCUACCCACAACUUAACUUGAAUGGGAAAGGUUUGGGUUCAAGAGUCGGUGAGACCCCCCCCUUCCCAUUCAUCAUCCUCUUUCUUUCCCAUUUUCUCCCCACCCCCGGCUGUUCCUUCCUUAGCAAUCUUUCCGUUCUCCUUUUCCUGCCCUUGCAAGAACAGAGAGAGACACACACGGAGGUUUCGCCUGCACAAGAGAGGAAAAGGACAAACUCCACAUGCUGGAAGGAAGAGCUCUUGUUUUGCUUUAUCCAAAGAAACCUCCUUUUUCUUUCCUCCCAGGCAGGACCCGAGACUGAGCCGAGGCUCCCCUGGAUUUGCUCAGGACCCAGAGAGAAGCGAACUCCCGAUCGAUCCCUCCAACCGUUGCAAGGCAGUGGCCUUUCUGGAGAUGACCCCGUGUUGA